ACGAGUUAUCCAAACUCCAAACCUUUGUGAACAUACCCGAUCGUUGCUUCGGCAGGCGGCUCCGGGGGAGCACCAGGCCAUUCGUGGCGCCUGCCGAAAGCCCCCAAAUUCUUUUUCUGGAAAUUUUUCCUGAGUACCAAACAAAACAAAUAA
rnacentral:misc_RNA from 1 species